UACGAAGGGGGCUAGCGUUGUUCGGAAUUACUGGGCGUAAAGCGUGCGUAGGCGGUUCGUUAAGUCUGUUGUGAAAGCCCCGGGCUCAACCUGGGAAUGGCAAUGGAUACUGGCGAGCUAGAGUGUGUCAGAGGAUGGUGAAAUUCCCGGUGUAGCGGUGAAAUGCGUAGAGAUCGGGAGGAACAUCAGUGGCGGAAGGCGGCCAUCUGGGACAACACUGACGCUGAGGCACGAAAGCGUGGGGAGCAAACAGG
rnacentral:rRNA from 1 species